UACGUAGGGGGCAAGCGUUGUCCGGAAUUAUUGGGCGUAAAGCGCGCGCAGGCGGCGGCUUAAGUCUGGUGUUUAAGCCCAGGGCUCAACCUUGGGACGCACUGGAAACUGGGCGGCUUGAGUGCAGGAGAGGAAAGUGGAAUUCCACGUGUAGCGGUGAAAUGCGUAGAGAUGUGGAGGAACACCAGUGGCGAAGGCGACUUUCUGGCCUGCAACUGACGCUGAGGCGCGAAAGCGUGGGGAGCAAACAGG
rnacentral:rRNA from 1 species